GUGCUCGCUUCAGCAGCACAUAUCCUGAAAUUGGAGCAAUACAGAGAAGAUUAGCAUAGCCCCUGCACAAGGACAACACGCAAAUUCAUGAGGCAUUCCAUAUUAAA